rnacentral:lncRNA from 1 species
GACGGUCGAAGGGUUCCGACUACAGAGGAGAGCCUCGUCCUCGGACCCCACCUCCCCUCACCUUCCCGGCAGGGCGAAGGAGGCGAAGGCUCAUUAGUGCCUACGUUAAUUGACACCUGUAAUGAGGAAACUUUCCGAGAGCGGAGACCGCUCAGGCCCGGCCUGGCCGGAGCUCCGCAACGGCCCCCUCUCGGGCGACCAGGUAACCGGGCCGGACUGGGCCCGAGGCGCCGCGGCGGCCGCGCCACCGCGCACCUUCCCGGGGCGCUAGGCCCGCACGCCCGCCCGGCUCGGCCGUCGCCUCCCGCAGGCCACGGCAGCUCGGGGAGGCCGCAAAGCGGCGCGGGGACCCCAAACCGUGCACCCCGACAGGCCGCCGCCGCGACUACUUACUUUCAUUUAACACCUCCACCAGGUCUGCGCAGUUCUCGCACAUCGUUCGGCCGCCGCCCCCCCCCUCCCCCGCUUCGGAUCGCACUGACUGAUCCCGACCGGCGGGGGGGAGGGGAGAGAGGCGGAGGAGUGGGCCGGCCGGCCGGCGGGGCGGGGAGGCGACGAGGGCGGGCGGCGGCGGGGACGGGGCGGGGAGGAGAAUGGGGGAGGGGGCCGGCGGUCCCCGGAGCGGGCGGGGGAGAGGAGGGGGGCGAGGGGAGGUGCGCAGGCCGGAGGGGCGCUGAGGCGCCGGCGGCGGGGAAGGGGGGGAAGGACGGGGGGAGGGGAGAGGGAGGGAGGGGGCGGGUGGGGAGAGAAGCAGCAGAGUCACUUCACCGACCAGACGCCGCGGCCACCGCCGACGCCGCCGCCAUUUUAAUAGAGCGUUCGGGCUGCGUUCGGCUCUUUCCGUCCGGGCGAAGGAGCCGACGAGAAGCGCCUCGCGCUCUCAUUCCUCCGCCUCCCUCCCUCUCUUCGCCUCCCGCCCUCCCACCUCCGCCUCCGCACACACGCCGCACGCCCCACACCCCUCCGCGGCCAGCUCGCCGCCCUCCCUUUCCUCUUCCGUCGAGCCUCCCCGCCCUCGGUCCACCCCCUCCGCGCGCUCGCCCUCCCCGCCCAGCCCGGAUCUCUGUCAGUGGCCGGAAGGGAAGCGCGAAGCCAGCGCGGCCGUGGGGGGAGACCGGGUGA